AAAACAACCAUGGCCGGUCAACAUUUGC
rnacentral:sRNA from 1 species